GUUAGACUUUAUUUAGAAGGCCCAAAACCUUAUUCUAUUGGGAUUUAUGUUCAAUACCCUAUUCUAGUAAGAUUUUAUUGUAUAAAUAGAGCUGUAAUGUUCAGUUUUAGAGGCAGAAUUAUGAGAAUAAAAAAAAUUGGUUCCGUAACCAGAAAAUCUGCACUUUUGGUUGAUCUUUUGAUCUCUCCAUUCUCUCAUUUCAAUAUUCUCUUAUCUUCUCUACGACCUAAUUAAGGUAAGGGUCAGCUAUCUAUAUCACAUGAUUAUUGAUUCCUAUGAUAUAAUACCCCAAGGAAUCUCAUCA
rnacentral:misc_RNA from 1 species